AGAGUUUGAUCAUGGCUCAGAACGAACGCUGGCGGCGUGCUUAACACAUGCAAGUCGCGUGCGCAGUUGCCGUAGCAAUACGGUGAUGGGCGCACGGCGCACGGGUGCGUAACACGUGGGCAAUCUGCCCUUUGAUGGGGAAUAACCCGCCGAAAGGCGGGCUAAUUCCGCAUAAGAUUCCCGGAACUUCGGUUCUGGGAUUGAAAGCAGCAAUGCGUCGAAGGAGGAGCCCGCGCCCGAUUAGCUAGUUGGUGAGGUAACGGCUCACCAAGGCUAUGAUCGGUAGCUGGUCUGAGAGGAUGAUCAGCCACACUGGAACUGAGACACGGUCCAGACUCCUACGGGAGGCAGCAGUGGGGAAUCUUGCACAAUGGGCGAAAGCCUGAUGCAGCGACGCCGCGUGGGGGAUGAAGCAUUUCGGUGUGUAAACCCCUUUCGACUGGGACGAAUGCCUCGCAAGAGGAGUGACGGUACCAGUAGAAGAAGCCCCGGCUAACUACGUGCCAGCAGCCGCGGUAAGACGUAGGGGGCCAGCGUUGUUCGGAAUUACUGGGUGUAAAGGGUUCGUAGGCGGUGCGGCAAGUUGGGAGUGAAAUCUCUGGGCUUAACCCAGAGGCUGCUUCCAAAACUGCUGUGCUCGAGUGUGAGAGAGGCUCGUGGAAUUGCAGGUGUAGCGGUGAAAUGCGUAGAUAUCUGCAGGAACACCCGUGGCGAAAGCGGCGAGCUGGAUCACUACUGACGCUGAGGAACGAAAGCUAGGGGAGCAAACAGGAUUAGAUACCCUAGUAGUCC
rnacentral:rRNA from 1 species